UACGGAGGGUGCGAGCGUUGUUCGGAAUCACUGGGCGUAAAGCGCGUGUAGGCGGCCCACUAAGUCUGAUGUGAAAGCCCGGGGCUCACCCCCGGAAGUGCAUUGGAAACUGGUGGACUCGAGUCCCGGAGAGGAGAGUGGAAUUCCUGGUGUAGCGGUGAAAUGCGUAGAUAUCAGGGGGAACACCGGUGGCGAAAGCGGCUCACUGGACCACAACUGACGCUGAGGCGCGAAAGCUAGGGGAGCAAACAGG
rnacentral:rRNA from 1 species